UAUAUAUGUAUAUAUAUAAUUAUAGAUACAUAUAUUCUAAAAAAUAAUAAUCAUAUUUCAUUUUCUAUUUUCUCGUGAACGUGAAAGAAGCUAAACCCAGAAAUUUCUCCUCAUCAUCAAAAGUCGCAGAAAAGUUGAAAUGGGGCAUUGGUCAAUUCUGAAUUAGUAUUGUUUUACGAUUCAGACUGAGUUUAUGGUGGAUAUGAAGUGCGAGGGAUGCGUUAACUCGGUCAAGAAUAAGUUGCAGACGUUGAUGGGUUGAAGAACAUUGAGGCGGAUUUGACAAAUCAGGUGUUGCCAGUUUUGAGUCGUUCUCCUGUGAAAGUUCUGACAGAAGCAUUGGAGCAGACAGGCUGCAAAGCCCGUCUGAUAGGCCAAGGGGUACCUGAAGAUUCGAGUUGCAUUUCUUAAUUUCUGCUGCUGUCGCUGAGUUCAAAGGCCCUGAUAUUUUCGGCGUAGUUCGAUUUGCUCAAUUGAAUAUUGAAUUGGCACGGAUUGAGGCCGACUUUAGUGGACUCUCUCCUGGAGCACAUGGUUGGUCCAUCAAUGAGUUUGAUGAUCUGAAGAGAGGCGCAGCUAGCACUGGGGAUGUCUUCAAUCCUGAGGCUGAAGGGACCAUGGAGAAGUUCCUGUGCUGCCACAUUGGACAUGUGGAUUGGCGACCUGGAAACAUUGGAAGCUGACAAGAAGGGCGAGGCCUUCUUCUUGGGUGUAAAAAAGAAUCUGAGGGUUGCUGAUCUGAUUGGGCAGUCAGUAGUUCUGUACCGAACUGAAGAUAAGUCGGAGGCAGGCAUUGAAGCUGCUGUAAUAGCAAGAAGUGCCGGUGUAGGUGAGAACUACAAGAAGCUCUGCACGUGUGACGGAACAAUCAUAUGGGAGUCUAGCAGUAAUGAUUUUGUCACUGCAAAGGUUUGAUUGCUCUAGCCCUAUUGUAAAUGCCAGAAUUUUCACGUCUUGUCAUCAGAUUCGUACAACUAAUUUGUAAGCCGUGUGUGCUUGAAAUUAUUGGCAACACUAUACACUGAUUGAGGAGCUUUUCUUCUGUCGUUCAUAGUGUCGGAUCUUAAGGCUGCAGGUUGCUCAUGUAGGGCCUUCACCUGAUUAAAAGAUGUUGGCGAGCAUGACUGUUUUCAUCAUGACCAUAAGAUUUAUGUGCUAACUAUUGCAUACUUCAGAGAACAAGUUUGAGCUUCCAUCUAUUGACGCA